GUGUCAGCCGCCGCGGUAAUACGAGGGGUGCAAACGUUAUUCGGAUUUAUUGGGUGUAAAGGGUGUGUAGACGGUUUAUUAAGUUCGUUGUUAAAUCUUUCGGCCUAACCGGAAGCUUGCGGUGAAAACUGAUAGACUAGAGGGUGAAAGAGAGGAGUGGAAUUCUCGGAGUAGCGGUAAAAUGCGUAGAUCUCGAGAGGAACACCGAUGGCGAAAGCAGCUCCUUGGUUCAUACCUGACGUUGAAACACGAAAGCGUGGGGAGCAAACAGGAUUAGAUACCCUUGUAGUCC
rnacentral:rRNA from 1 species